rnacentral:rRNA from 1 species
CUACGUGCCAGCAGCCGCGGUAAUACGUAGGUGGCAAGCGUUGUCCGGAUUUAUUGGGCGUAAAGCGAGCGCAGGCGGUUCCUUAAGUCUGAUGUGAAAGCCCCCGGCUCAACCGGGGAGGGUCAUUGGAAACUGGGGAACUUGAGUGCAGAAGAGGAGAGUGGAAUUCCAUGUGUAGCGGUGAAAUGCGUAGAUAUAUGGAGGAACACCAGUGGCGAAGGCGACUCUCUGGUCUGUAACUGACGCUGAGGCUCGAAAGCGUGGGUAGCAAACAGGAUUAGAUACCCUGGUAGUCCACGCCGUAAACGAUGAGUGCUAGGUGUUAGACCCUUUCCGGGGUUUAGUGCCGCAGCUAACGCAUUAAGCACUCCGCCUGGGGAGUACGACCGCAAGGUUGAAACUCAAAGGAAUUGACGGGGGCCCGCACAAGCGGUGGAGCAUGUGGUUUAAUUCGAAGCAACGCGAAGAACCUUACCAGGUCUUGACAUCCCUCUGACCGCUCUAGAGAUAGAGUUUUC